UGGGACUACCUGCCCCGUGCUGCCCAGAACUGAGUAAACAUACCUACUUUACAAUCUUGCUGAUUGUGGAGUCAGCUUUCUGUGAGUCAUUUUGGUGAGCCAGGCAGGAGCCGCUCUGCUUGGCUGCGGGAUUGGCUGCGGAGCAGACGCCCCUAGGUGUACCCUGAGUGUUUUGCUCGGAGGGGACUCCACUCUCAGCUGCUCACCGCAGGAGCAAAGACCUCCUGAAGUUGUGGACAAACGGAACCUUGUGGUGGGCAGAGCAUGUGCAGAAGAAGAGGGAGACGCUCGAAGCCGCUCCUGCAGUCUGGAACAAAAGGUUGCUAAUGGUGAUGGGGAAACCAUGAGCCUUUCACCCACAACGACCACCACAAAGGGAAUAUAAUAUGAAGCGGGGAUAGGAUAUCCAUAUGUAUAGGCGUACUCGGGUUUCUUGUAAAUAUGUAACAGCAAUGUCCUAUACAUAUUUGGAAAGUUUGACGUUUGCGUGUGCGUGUUGGUAGAGCAUAGACUCCCCGCAUGCCCAGUGCUGUUUACUCGCCUUUUAUAAAUAUUCUUUUAUGUUACUAAA